rnacentral:rRNA from 1 species
UACAGAGGUCCCGAGCGUUGUUCGGAUUCACUGGGCGUAAAGGGUGCGUAGGUGGUGAGGUAAGUCGGAUGUGAAAUCUCCGGGCUCAACCCGGAAAUGGCAUUGGAAACUACCUUGCUGGAGGAUUUGAGGGGGGAUUGGAAUACUUGGUGUAGCAGUGAAAUGCGUAGAUAUCUGGAGGAACACCGGUGGCGAAGGCGGCAUCCUGGACCGGUAUUGACGCUGAGGCGCGAAAGCUAGGGGAGCAAACGGGG